rnacentral:lncRNA from 1 species
CCUUCCAAUUCCUGGGGCCGACGAAAAUACCAUGUUCCCUAAGAAAAUCGUACGGCCCGGAUCCUUUUCCUUCCCUGGAGUCCGGUUUUCCUGUGCGGGAUUCCGCAUGGCAAGAGUCAAAAACCAGCCAACGGGGAGAAAACUCGAGAGAACCCCCUCGUCCGGACCCCUUCUUCCUCUUUCCCCUCUCCCACCAUUUGAUUCGUACGGAGAGCACCAGCGCUCGCAGUACAAACAUAGGCGACCAACCCACGCAACCGCGGUACACUAAUUCCCUCCUAUGCCUAUUAUUUUCCCACGUCCGUCCUUCCAGACCUUGGAUGUAACCAGUAUAGUACAGCUUUUGGUCUUUCUUUUAAUCCCUUCCGUGCAGUAUCCUGGCCCCAUUACCGGUACAGUUUGAUUAUUGUAAAGAACGUCGGAGAUCAAAAGGAAAGAUGUGAAUAAAAAAGAAGAAGAAAAAGGAGUUACGUAGGGGCAGGAAAGUGGGAAGGGGAGAUGUAACUACUCGGUGGCACAUUCAUUGGUUCGAAGAUUGGUCUAAUUUAUUGACAACUUGAUUAUUCAUACAGACCAGAGGCUCCUGUCCCCCUGUUUCUCCGGGUUGUAUGGAGUGGCCCAUAGAAAAGAAUUAAGAAAAAUAAAAAUAAAAACAAAAAAGGUUGGGCAGGUGUCCGUUGGGUCGCGAGUCCACCAUCCACCCUCACAGAACCAGUCAUCUAUACGUAAUUGGGGUGGAAAAAAAAAAAAAAAGGGAACGGAAUCGCGAAAAAAGAGGAAGAAACGGAAUCGUGAUUCCGUUAUUCCAUUGCCCAGACCUUCUGCGAAAUUAUUGCAUGAAUCAGGUCUAAGUAAACCAGGGCAAA